UACGUAGGGUCCUAGCGUUGUCCGGAAUUAUUGGGCGUAAAGAGCUCGUAGGCGGUGUGUCGCGUCGGAUGUGAAAACCCGAGGCUCAACCUCGGGCCUGCAGUGGGUACGGGCAGACUAGAGUGCGGUAGGGGAGAUUGGAAUUCCUGGUGUAGCGGUGGAAUGCGUAGAUAUCAGGAGGAACACCAGCGGUGUAGACGGCUUUCUGGACCAUUGCUGACGCUGAGACACGAAAGCGUGGGUAGCAAACAGG
rnacentral:rRNA from 1 species